UGGGUGAUGAGCCUAAGGGAUGGUUUUGU
rnacentral:piRNA from 1 species